rnacentral:rRNA from 1 species
UACGGAGGGUGCAAGCGUUAAUCGGAAUUACUGGGCGUAAAGCGUGCGCAGGCGGUUAUAUAAGACAGUUGUGAAAUCCCCGGGCUCAACCUGGGAACUGCAUCUGUGACUGUAUAGCUAGAGUACGGUAGAGGGGAUGGAAUUCCGCGUGUAGCAGUGAAAUGCGUAGAUAUGCGGAGGAACACCGAUGGCGAAGGCAAUCCCUGGACCUGUACUGACGCUCAUGCACGAAAGCGUGGGAGCAACAGG